UAAACUAGGAUUAGAUACCCUAUUAUUUUGAAUGUAAAUUUAUACUUAUGGUAUUAAUAGUUAUGAUCUUUAAAUUAAAAGGAUUUGACGGUAAUUUGAUCAUUUUAGAGGAACCUGUUCUGUAAUUGAUAAUCCACGAUAAAUUUUACCUUAAUUAUUAGUUUAUAUAUCUCUGUCUGUUGAGUGUUUUAUUAGAAUGAUUCUCUUGUAUUUCUAUUUAUUAAAAAUUUAUGUCAGGUCAAGGUGUAGCUAUAUUAAGGGUUGAAAUGGGUUACAUUGAUUUAUAAUUUUGGAUUGAUAUAUUUAUGUAUUUUCAUGAAAUAGGAUUUAAUUGUAAUGUUUAUUAUA
rnacentral:rRNA from 1 species